UGAAAGAUGCUAAGAAUGAUAGACUGUGGU
rnacentral:piRNA from 1 species